rnacentral:rRNA from 1 species
ACACGUAAGGUGCGAGCGUUGUUCGGAAUUAUUGGGCGUAAAGGGCUCGUAGGCGGCCUGCCAAGUCUCCCGUGAAAGACCAGGGCUCAACCCUGGGAACGCGGGAGAAACUGGCAAGCUGGAAUCUUGGAGGGGGUACUGGAAUUCCUGGUGUAGGGGUGAAAUCUGUUGAUAUCAGGAAGAACACCGGAGGCGAAGGCGAGUACCUGGCCAAAGAUUGACGCUGAUGAGCGAAAGCGUAGGGAGCGAACAGGAUUAGAUACCCCGGUAGUCC